rnacentral:rRNA from 1 species
UAACGCGUAAGAAUCUACCAUAGUAGUGGGGGACAACUCGGGGAAACUCGAGCUAAUACCGCAUACGCCCUACGGGGGAAAGCGGGGGACCUUCGGGCCUCGUGCUAUUAGAUGAGCUUGCGUUGGAUUAGCUUGUUGGUGGGGUAAUGGCCCACCAAGGCGACGAUCCAUAGCUGGUCUGAGAGGAUGAUCAGCCACACCGGGACUGAGACACGGCCCGGACUCCUACGGGAGGCAGCAGUGGGGAAUAUUGCGCAAUGGGCGAAAGCCUGACGCAGCCAUGCCGCGUGUGUGAAGAAGGCCCUAGGGUUGUAAAGCACUUUCAAUUGGGAGGAAAAGCUAACGACUAAUACUCGUUAGCCCUGACGUUACCUUUAGAAGAAGCACCGGCUAACUCCGUGCCAGCAGCCGCGGUAAUACGGAGGGUGCAAGCGUUAAUCGGAAUUACUGGGCGUAAAGCGCGCGUAGGCGGCUUUUUAAGUCGGAUGUGAAAGCCCCGGGCUCAACCUGGGAACUGCACCCGAUACUGGAAGGCUAGAGUGCGAGAGAGGGAGGUAGAAUUCCAUGUGUAGCGGUGAAAUGCGUAGAUAUAUGGAGGAAUACCAGUGGCGAAGGCGGCCUCCUGGCUCGACACUGACGCUGAGGUGCGAAAGCGUGGGGAGCAAACAGGAUUAGAUACCCUGUAGUCCACGCCGUAAACGAUGUCUACUAGCUGUUGGGGUACUUGAGACCUUGGUAGCGCAGCUAACGCACUAAGUAGACCGCCUGGGGAGUACGGCCGCAAGGUUAAAACUCAAAUGAAUUGACGGGGGCCCGCACAAGCGGUGGAGCAUGUGGUUUAUUCGAUGCAACGCGAAAACCUUACCAAGCCUUGACAUCCUCGAACUU